GAGACCAUAGCUCAGUCGGUAUAACAUGAGCCCCUUAACCUGAAGUUCAUGGGUUCGAGCCCCAUGUUGGUUGAAAGAUUUCU